rfam:Otolemur garnettii contig124449, whole genome shotgun sequence.
AUACUUACCUGGCAGGGGAGAUACCAUAAUCAUGAAGGUGGUUUUCCCAGGGUGAAGCUUAUCCAUUACACUCUGGAUGUGCUGACCCUGCGAUUUCCCCUGAAGAAAAAGAAAAAAAUGAAAGAAUGUAGACGAAAAGCUAAGACUUAACUUCUGACCUUCC